AAUGUGUUCAGAGUGCUGAUGCUUCCUCCCUCUCUUUGUGUGGCUGCAUGUUUGAGGGGCUAAACAGCGCCACCUCCAGGUCGGAAAAGUAGUGAUUACAAGCAGAUUAAACACAUACAAGACACUUUAUAGCAAUCUCAAGAAUCAAAAGACACAUUUCCUGGUCAUUCGCAGGCUUCUGCUGCAAGAAGUAUUUGAAGAUUUGACACACAUCAAUCUGUCUUGGUGGCAUCGGCAAUACAGCGGCGUUCUAAAUACGAAGACAAAUCUGGGGCAAAACACACCUACACAUGCUUUAACACCAACAGAUGAGUCAUAGUGAUGAUGAAAAUUUGAUAGCCUGCCUGACGCUCUCGAUCCACAUUAUCCGUCUUUCAAGAUAAGAUCUCCCAGCCUCUGCUGAUAAAUAGUGACAGAAUGGCAGUUACAUGUGAGCGAGUUGAAACUUGACGAACGGUGAGGUUAGCGCUCCAAACACAGAACAAUCGAUUUAACCACAGGAGAACUAAUAGGUACAUAUUUGAAUCACACCCAGAAUAAAUCACAGCCAAAGGCAGAAAAACAGAAGAACAUUCCUGUUAGUAUUCAAAGAAAAAUGUUGAAUUAUAAUGUCUCUAACUUUUUUAAUUUAAAUGAUAAACUCUCAUUGCAAAGAAAAAAUUGUCACAUUUUUUAUUUUCCUCUUUAGUUGUUUUUUAACUAAAGAGGAAGCAUGUCACACAUUUCACCUAAGUAAUGGUGGGAAAGUCAGAAUUGGACAACUUACUUUACUACAGUAAAAGUAAAAUAUAACUGUCCAACAAAUUGUUCACCUAAGAGUAAGAAACUAUUUUUAAAACAUUAUCAAGUACCGAGUGACUGAUAA